rnacentral:rRNA from 1 species
UACGGAGGAUGCGAGCGUUAUCCGGAUUUAUUGGGUUUAAAGGGUGCGUAGGCGGCCUGCCAAGUCAGCGGUAAAAAUGCGGUGCUCAACGCCGUCGAGCCGUUGAAACUGGCGUUCUUGAGUGGGCGAGAAGUAUGCGGAAUGCGUGGUGUAGCGGUGAAAUGCAUAGAUAUCACGCAGAACUCCGAUUGCGAAGGCAGCAUACCGGCGCCCUACUGACGCUGAGGCACGAAAGCGUGGGUAUCGAACAGG